rnacentral:rRNA from 1 species
AUUGAACGCUGGCGGCAUGCCUUACACAUGCAAGUCGAACGGCAGCACGGACUUCGGUCUGGUGGCGAGUGGCGAACGGGUGAGUAAUGUAUCGGAACGUACCUUUCAGUGGGGGAUAACGUAGCGAAAGUUACGCUAAUACCGCAUAUUCUGUGAGCAGGAAAGCAUGGGAUCGAAAGACCUUGCGCUGAUUGAGCGGCCGAUAUCAGAUUAGCUAGUUGGUGGGGUAAAGGCCUACCAAGGCGACGAUCUGUAGCGGGUCUGAGAGGAUGAUCCGCCACACUGGAACUGAGACACGGUCCAGACUCCUACGGGAGGCAGCAGUGGGGAAUUUUGGACAAUGGGGGCAACCCUGAUCCAGCCAUGCCGCGUGAGUGAAGAAGGCCUUCGGGUUGUAAAGCUCUUUCGGCCGGGAAGAAAUCGCAUAGGCUAAUACCCUGUGUGGAUGACGGUACCGGAAGAAGAAGCACCGGCUAACUACGUG